AAAAGUUUGGGGUAGGAUGAAGUUUAGAUUAAGUAAAAUAUAUUUUGAUUUGUAUUGCAGUUGUCCCCUGAAGUUAUUGAUAUAGCAGGAAGCAACUGAAACUGAAUAAAAUUAUUUUCAUAAGAAUUAAGCAUAAAAAAAAGAAAACCUGGCAUAAGCAAGCCUUGAAUGGGAAGAAAGGUUAUAUUUUAAAGGUAUCCAAUUACAAAGACAAGGGCAGAGAAGAAAGCAAAUAGCUCUGUAGUAACUGAGAAUUCUGCAUCUUUAGCAAGCAGCAAGAUACUAUUGUUCCUUUCUACUCGGUUAUGUACUAUAGACCAGCAGCCAUUUCAUUCUCUAGACAUGUCAUAAUUUAUACCUCUCAAUGUACCUUAUUAGUGGCAGAUUGGCUUCUAAAGAGAUAAUAGGAGAAUUUUAGAAAUGCCAUUCCAGGGCGCUGGAGAUACAGCUCAGUUGGUAGAGUGCUUGCCUCACAUACACAAGGCCCUGGGUUCAAUACUGAGCACCACCACCACCAAAAAAAACAAAAGAAAGAAAAUGCCAUUCUCUAGUACCAAGUUUUUGUAUAUUCAUGCCGCAACUAAAUCAGUUUCAGAGCUAGUGCUGGCAAUCCAUUCAAAUUCAGUUGCACCAAAGCCUUAAGUAAUCUCAAAUAUAUGUCAUUGCAGUAUGUCUCCACCUACUUUCUUGAUAAUAUAGACAUUUUUUCUCUCAUUUUUCAUAACUGAUAUUUCGGUACUUUACACAAAAUGUUAGGAAGAUAAAUCCUUAUUAACUGGAUUCUCACAUUGCUCUAUUUCAUAUUAUCUUCUGGGGGAAAAAGUAUUUGUGUCCUAAACAGUAUUUGUUAGUUUCUUAUAGCUAAUCUAACAAAUUUGAUGGUUUAAAGCAUCAGAAAUGUACCCAGUUCUGGAGGCCAAAAUUUCAAAAUCAAAGUUGUCAUGGUUGCCUUCCCCCUAGAAUUCUAGGAAAGAACCAUUCCUUGGCAUUACACCAACUCGCUCCUGUCUCUGCUCCAUCCUCAUAUCUCUUUAAUGUGUCUAAUACCCCUCUUCCUUUCUCUUACAAGGCAGUUUAGAGCCUUUCUUGAUUAUUCAGGAUAAUCUCACCUCAAGACCCUUAGCAUACUUCCAAAGACCCUCUUUCAAAUGAUGGAAACAUUUUACAAGAGGGGACUGGGAUGUGGACAUAAUCUUUGGGAGACAUUAUCAGCCAACUCACAUGGUGUUUACUAAUUUAACAAAAUUUAGCUUAAAUCUACUUCAGGGUAACCUAAAAUAUUCUGAGUUGAAUCAGCAGAACUUGGAGUCUCCUAGAGAGCCCCUGAGGAUGUGGCAAAGCCAUAGGGGUAAACUACGCUACAGAGAUUUUUCUAAGGGAAAUUUAGGAUCAAGUGAGAUUUCAAGGAGUUAUAAGAGGUCCAGUCUGAGCUAGUUCCACAAUUUCAGAACCAGUAUAGUAGCUAUGGAACUGUUAACCAUUGUCAUCCCCUUGGAAUUACUUUAUACUUGUAUUAGUAUACAUUCUCUCCAUGUUUCAUAUUUUCAAUGAUAGCCAAACUCCCCCCUUCCACUGAUUUUGAUUUAAGGAGUAAUAUAAAUUGUAAGCUUCAUUUUUUGCUUUUUAU
rnacentral:lncRNA from 1 species